rnacentral:lncRNA from 1 species
GAGAAGCAGGAGAACCUUACCCUCAAAGUACGGACCCCAUAAGCUACAACACUUACAGUGGACUUGCGUAAAUCUAGCGCACCAGCUAGAUAUGCUAUUCUUUUAUAUAUUGCGGUGCUUUACAAGCAAUAGUUAUCAUUGUUCAGAAACGGAGACACCAUAUUAAUAUUAUAAAUUCGUCUAUAUCUGUUCUUAUAGUGGAAGCCGUCCAAUUGUGUCCAC